GACAAAAUGGCUGAUGAAAGCGGGGAACUGUAAAUUCUUUUAUAAACGUUGUUUUUUUGUUA
rnacentral:tRNA from 1 species